GCCAGGCGUGGUGGCGGGCGCCUGUAAUCCCAGCUACUUGGGAGGCUGAGGCAGGAGAAUUGCUUGAACCUGGGGGGCAGAGAUUGCAGUGAGCUGAGACCGCUCCACUGCACUCCAGCCUGGGUGACAGAGUGAGACUCUGUCUCAA
ensembl:misc_RNA Metazoa_SRP Metazoan signal recognition particle RNA